CAAAGUAUGCUCUCUUUCUUUAUUUGAAAUGUUUCAAAUUUUUAGUUUUGUGAAAAUGUGUUAAAUUGCAACAUUAUGGACUAACUUUGGACAUAAUGACGAUUCUAUUUUGGUGCAUUGUAAUUAUGACUAAUAUUUUAGUGGUAUUCGACAGGUAUACAUCAUUCAUACAAUCAACGGUUGGUAUUAUCCUUACCAUACCCGACCCUAUUGCAAUAGCAUUAAUGGCACUGGAAUAUCUAUUCUAAAUCACUGCUUGUGAAAUCAAAAACUGCAAAUUAAAAUAUCUGAUGGCCAUAAGAUU